rnacentral:rRNA from 1 species
CAUGCAAGUCGAACGGCAGCGCGGGGCAACCUGGCGGCGAGUGGCGAACGGGUGAGUAAUAUAUCGGAACGUACCCAAGAGUGGGGGAUAACGUAGCGAAAGUUACGCUAAUACCGCAUACGAUCUAAGGAUGAAAGCAGGGGAUCUUCGGACCUUGUGCUCCUGGAGCGGCCGAUAUCUGAUUAGCUAGUUGGUGAGGUAAAGGCUCACCAAGGCUACGAUCAGUAGCUGGUCUGAGAGGACGACCAGCCACACUGGAACUGAGACACGGUCCAGACUCCUACGGGAGGCAGCAGUGGGGAAUUUUGGACAAUGGGCGAAAGCCUGAUCCAGCAAUGCCGCGUGAGUGAAGAAGGCCUUCGGGUUGUAAAGCUCUUUUGUCAGGGAAGAAACGGUGAGGGCUAAUAUCCCUCGCUAAUGACGGUACCUGAAGAAUAAGCACCGGCUAACUACGUGCCAGCAGCCGCGGUAAUACGUAGGGUGCAAGCGUUAAUCGGAAUUACUGGGCGUAAAGCGUGCGCAGGCGGUUUUGUAAGUCUGACGUGAAAUCCCCGGGCUCAACCUGGGAAUUGCGUUGGAGACUGCAAGGCUAGAAUCUGGCAGAGGGGGGUAGAAUUCCACGUGUAGCAGUGAAAUGCGUAGAGAUGUGGAGGAACACCGAUGGCGAAGGCAGCCCCCUGGGUCAAGAUUGACGCUCAUGCACGAAAGCGUGGGGAGCAAACAGGAUUAGAUACCCUGGUAGUCCACGCCCUAAACGAUGUCUACUACUUGUCGGGUUG